rnacentral:tRNA from 1 species
UGUCCAGGGGCGGGAAUCGAACCCACAACCUUCUGCUUACCGGGCAGGUGCCAUGUCCACUAGGCUACACUGGAC